rnacentral:lncRNA from 1 species
UAUUCUUAUUUGUGGGUCCUUUUCGUUGCGGCAUGUGGGACGCUGCCUCAGCGUGGUUUGAUAAGCAGUGCCAUGUCCGCGCCAGGAUUCGAACCAACGAAACGCUGGGCCGCCUGCAGCGGAGCGCGCGAACUUAACCACUCGGCCACGGGGCCAGCCCCGUGUGGAAAAUUUUUGAUCAUGAUUAAUUGAAUAGCAAUAUGUAUGAUCAAGUCAGGCACAAGGAUGGAAGGCUAGUUAGACGUCUUUUAUAACAGCUUAAGGGAAAGGAAAGGGAGGAAACUAGGGCAAUUGCAGUUGGAGUGGGGUGAAGAGGAUGGACCUAAGAGCUGUUCUGCAGAUAAGGAAAAUGAGACCCAGAGAGGCUGGAGAUCAUGGCCUUGCUCUUCCGUGCCAAGUUGCUGGACUCAUCUCCUCAGAGUGCUUCCUUUGAACUUCUUUAAUGCCACUUGACCAGACUUCACGUUGGGCUAUACUCAUGAGAUUUCCCUCCAGAAAUAGCCAAGGAAGAUUAGCCCUGAGCUAACACCUGCUGCCAAUCCUCCUCUUUUCGCUGAGGAAGACUGGCCCUGAGCUAACAUCCGUGCCCAUCUUCCUCUACUUUAUAUGUGGGAUGCCUACCAUAGCAUGGCUUGCCAAGCGAUGCCAUGUCCGCACCUGGGACCCGAACCAGUGAACCCUGGGCCGCCAAAGCAGAAUGUGCAAACUUAACCACUGCGCCAUCAGGCCGGCCCAUCUUUUUUUUUUUUUUAAAGAUUGGCACCUGAGCUAACAUCUGUCGCCAAUCUUUCUUUUUUUUUUUUCCCUUCUUCUCCCCAAAGCCCCCCUCCACCCUGAAUAGUUGAAUAUUCACUAGUUGUAUAUUCAAUAGUUGUAUGUUCUAGUUGUGAGUGCCUCUGGUUGUGGUAUGUGGGACACUGCCUCAGCAUGGCCUGAUGAGCAGUGCUAUGUCUGUGCCCAGGAUCCGAACCCACGAAACUCUGGGUCGCCAAAGUGGAGCAUGUGAACUUAACCACUAGGCCACGGAGCUGACCCUCAUUUAUUUAUUCUUUAUUUAAUAAGGCUAUUGCCUAUUCUAAAGCUUUUGUUCUUCAUGAUGGGCUUUACUUUAACACUAUCAGUUUCACAUAUCUCUAUGUUGGGCUUUUUCUUGGAAUUAAGUUACAUUUGUAGCAGAACUAAUAUAGUUCACAAGCAUUUAGUCAGAAAUGACACUAUUAAGAGACAUAAUGUAUCUCUCCAUUUAUUUUGGUUUUAAAAUAUAUUUCAGAAUAUUUAAUGUUUUUUCAUAUGAGCCUUAUAAAAUUUUUUGUUAACUUUUU